rnacentral:lncRNA from 1 species
UUUGACCAUAUUUAUACAGGGAAAUCAUUAUUUUUAUAUAGUGACAAACAUGCUAGAUACAUUUUACACUAGAAUUGAAUCGAACAUCAUAAACAAUUUUUCGUCCUUAUGUUUACAUUGUGUUGUGAUAUUAUCAUAGCGUCGUCGCCAAGGCAACACCACUCUUAUUUAUUACUAAAAAAUCACCGCUUAUAUUUAUUAUUCAUUCUGAGUUACUCUACAUACGCAUACACCACAAUAUCUACAGACCAUUCAUUUCAGAAACCCGUGUACCACACCAUUCCCAGUCACGUGCCUGCCAACACUCCGUCACGUGACUUUGCGUGUCAAGUCUGUCCGAAAUAUCAAACUUCCAACAAAAAAUAAACAGAAGUAUAAUGUUACUCGACGAUAACUGAAUUGAAUUAAAGAACAUGAAAAGUAAAUCGAAUACUUUUUGACAUAUGACCAUAAGGAUGUCCUCC